CGUUCACGAAUCGGCCAUCACUAGAAACGACGAGAAGAGCUGCUGCUGAAGCGUGGCGCGCGGCACGGAGGCUGAUUCUGGUAAGAUUGACUUCUGUCUCUGCUCACUCUGUGAAGAGCGGCGAAGUAUUCUCGCCUGUCGGGUCUGUCAGUGGUCUGAUCAGGGCUAGAGCUUCGCUAGAUCAACACCAGCACGAGACUCAGAUCGGCCUGCUGUGCUUCAUCUGUUCUCCUCCUGCUCCGCUGGUCACACCUGACUCUCUGUUGAUGAUGCCAUCAGAACAUCCGAGCAUCAAAUAAUUAAUGUCCAGUCCUGAACACCCAAGCGAGGUCUUCAUUACAAGUUCAGUACAUUUUUUUUUACAUUUAUUUUAUUUAGUUCUUUAUUUAACAGGGACAAUGGAGAUUCAAAGACUGCCACAGAAUCAGCCUCGGAGCUCUUUUCCUCUUCUGUCUCAGGGCAGGAGAGUACCAAAACACAUUACAGAAACAUCAAUAUAAGCAUAUACAUUAAAAUCAGCCCAGCCAAAAUUUAGAAGAUUAGAAAUUUAAUCUCACACAUCACCUACAAUAAAAUAAAUCAGACCCCCAAACUUAUGUAACCAACAUAAGAGCAUUCAAUGGUCACAAACCUGACUCAUCCUUUAAAGCAGGACACGUCUUAUAUUAAUUGGUAAAUGACUCCAUUAACAGCCUUACAGACAGAAAAAUCUCUAAAUACAAUUACCUCUUGAUGAAGCUUUCACUUCUAUUGAAAUUUGACUCUGUAUAAUUUAAAAAUUUGAGGUUUUAACAUGCUUUUCAAAAUAUAUCUCAAGAUAUAAAAAAAUCCGGCACAAUUUGUAAUUUUCUCACCAUUGACAUACAUCCGGUUAGACCACUACCUUCUUUUUUGUUUUAAAGUUCAUACAGGCACUUUUCCAAACAUUUCAUGUUAAAAAGCACUGUGGAAGGCAGUCUAACACAUUUCAACAUUGCAAUAGAUAAUUUUUGUGCCAUCAUCAGUGUCAUCUGCAUUUGAAUAUGUCCCACAGGACAAACAUCUGGAAAGUCUGCUAAUACAAGCUAAAAAGUAGGGGCCCUAGGGUCGACCCCUGAGGCACCCAAGUGAAACAAUCUCUUAAAGAGGAUAUGUGUGUUUUUGUGUUUCCUUGAUGCAAGAUUCAAUCCAUUUUAUUGUUAAUGAAAAGUUAAAAUGUCUUGAGGUGUGGUAACUGUAGUAUAAGCCGAAUAAUUGACUCCGGGCUGUUGAAUUAUUACCUCAGAUGUGCAUCAUCAAUUAUUCCUUACUUAAUGUGUCGUAUGUCAUUUGUAAAUCAAAGAACACAGCACCCACAACCCUAACCCUUGUCUGAUUUACCUGCUCCAUAAAAUAAAGCAUACAAUAGGUUCUGUCGUUUGCCCAGUUACUUUUUUUUUUCUUCUAUUUUAACUACUGACUAAAUUCAAAUCUGCCUAUAAUUAGCCACAUUAGUCGGAUCACCUGCCUUGAAAGCUAGAGGAAUGUAGAUUGUCUAAAUGAUAAAUUCACAAAAUAAUUAAUUGGUACAAAAAAGUCACUAUUGUUUUUAAAAAGUUCCAUAAAGUUAUCUAAACCAUAUAUUUCUUAACCAUUGGGACUUUUGAAAUCUUUCCUAACCUGAAUUGAAUGCUCAGAAAAUUGUUAAAUGAAAUGUAGAUUUUACAGAAUUAACUAAAUUAAGUUCUUUAUAUCUUAUUCCAGAUUUAUCUCUCAAACUCAACAAAGUAAUCAUUAAAUAGAUCUGCUAUUUUGUCAGAUGUAUCAAUUAUUCUUUCUUUAAAACCUAUUUCUAAAAAUGUUUUUGUCAACUGAUUAUGGGUUUGCCAUCAACUUUAGCCUCAUUGAAAAUAUUAAUAAAGUAAUGUGCCAUAUCCUGUCAUUUAUCAGACCAAAGGGAGUAAAAUCUAUUAAAAAAAAACCACACUCUUUACUUAAGUUUUUUAAAGUUAUCAAAAAAUUAAAUAUCAGAUUAAGGGGGUUUAUAAACUGCAACAAUAGUGAAAUACAUUUGUGGAAUAAUUAAAACCUCAGUAUAAUAAAAAUGUUAUUAUUUUAAAAGGAUCAUCUGCAGGAUCUGAGUGGUGAUGCUAUAUGUGGGUUUUAAAUACACUACUGAAACUUGUACAGUUGUCUUUUUUUUUUUACUUUAAACAUGUAAAAUCCUACAGAAAAUGGUUAUUAUGCAGUACAAUAUUAUGGGAUAAAUGUCAUUAAGAGGAGUUAGGAACUUAUGUGUCAGUUGUGAUGCAUUCGCUCCAGAAUUGAUCUUAAAUCAGUUAAUGCUCAGUCCUCUUCAUCACAGAGUUAAGAAAUGUAAUUUUUAUGUGUGCUGUUUGUGAGAAAUGUAGAAACAUUUAGGUGUUUUUAUUUUAUUAAAUUAAAAUAAACAAAUUUCACACUGAA